rnacentral:rRNA from 1 species
UACGGGGGGGGCAAGCGUUGUUCGGAAUUACUGGGCGUAAAGGGUUUGUAGGUGGCUUGUUAAGACAGACGUGAAAUCCCUCAGCUUAACUGGGGAACUGCGUCUGAUACUGGCGAGCUUGAGUGCAGGAGAGGAACGCGGAAUUCCAGGUGUAGCGGUGAAAUGCGUAGAUAUCUGGAGGAACACCGGUGGCGAAGGCGGCGUUCUGGACUGCAACUGACACUGAGAAACGAAAGCCAGGGUAGCAAACGGG